UUUCGCAACAGCCCCCCUCCCCUCUCCAAAUGAAGAAAUAGCAGGUUUGGGAAGAGUGGUAGUAAUAUCUCCAUCUAUUUCCCCCUUUAAAUGAAGAAAUGUAUGUUUAACGGAGUGUACUUGAAAUGGUGCGAUCUGUCAAACUUGCAUUAUUCAGUUUUUACCGGAGGCAAAUGAAGUGAAAUUUGCAAGACAAUCAAUUCCCGUAGGAGCAUCUUUUAAGUUGGACUAUUUGACACAGCCUUCUUUUUUCAAGGAUUUCGGUUUCACCUAGAAGGUCAAGCUUGCUGACUGUGUCAAGCCAGAAGAUGAACUCUUUGUAGUCGCCUAUCCAUAUUAUAUUGUUAACAGUAACAUAAAACUCUUCCACAUUAGUGUAUAUCAAGUGGUCGAUUUCAUUGAAAUUUUAUGAUGACAGCAUUUAUUUCUGCAAUAUAGAGAUGCUUGUCGUGGAAGAGCUAUACAGAGCAGCAGUGUCGAACAAAUAUAGGAAACUGAUUUUAUUCAACAGAGAGCUUGAUCGAAUAAGUUCUGGUUGUAUCCUUUCUUACCACAAAUUUUGAUUGUUCAAUCUGAUAUCAUUUUCUUUCCCCGGUAACAAA